AUUGAACGCUGGCGGAAUGCUUUACACAUGCAAGUCGAACGGCAGCACGGGGGCAACCCUGGUGGCGAGUGGCGAACGGGUGAGUAAUACAUCGGAACGUGCCCAGUCGUGGGGGAUAACGUAGCGAAAGUUACGCUAAUACCGCAUACGAUCUACGGAUGAAAGCGGGGGACCGUCAGGCCUCGCGCGAUUGGAGCGGCCGAUGUCAGAUUAGGUAGUUGGUGAGGUAAAGGCUCACCAAGCCGACGAUCUGUAGCUGGUCUGAGAGGACGAGCAGCCACACUGGGCAUGAGACACGGCCCAGACUCCUACGGGAGGCAGCAGUGGGGAAUUUUGGACAAUGGGCGCAAGCCUGAUCCAGCCAUUCCGCGUGCGGGACGAAGGCCUUCGGGUUGUAAACUGCUUUUGUACGGAACGAAAAGGCUCUGGUUAAUACCUGGGGCUCAUGACGGUACCGUAAGAAUAAGCACCGGCUAACUACGUGCCAGCCGCCGCUGUAA
rnacentral:rRNA from 1 species